AGUCACUCAGUGUCUCACUUUUGAACAGUGGCAACCAGGCAACUGCCUUAAAUCAGCACACAGGCGACAAGACCACUUGGUCACCCUGGGAGGGCAAGAGGAGAUGGAGCAGGUGUCAACUUACAAGAUCAGGGGCCUCGGAGUCGGGCUGUCUCUUCCUGAGAGAGGAGAAUCUCUGUUGACUGCGUGCGGAGAAGCGGCGGAAGGACUCGCGGCUCCGCGAGGCCAGGUGUCUGAAGGAGGAGGUGCGCUUGAACGGGGUGCGAGCGGCGGACUCCCCGCUCCGCUCUGUGCCCACCGUGGCCGUCACCAAGUGCAGAGCCUCCUGGAAGGACCGCCUCACCGUGCCAACCCACUGAGUCAUGUGUGUCUGGGCCACCGAAAGCUUGUCGCCCAGGCAUCCGUGCGGGUCACGAAACAGGGACGGGACGGGUCAGCAGGUGGUCACCAGCAGGAGCCUCGAGUCAACCAACCAGGUCGUCCAGUU